AGUGAACGCUGGCGGUAGGCCUAACACAUGCAAGUCGAACGGCAGCACAGUAAGAGCUUGCUCUUACGGGUGGCGAGUGGCGGACGGGUGAGGAAUACAUCGGAAUCUACUUUUUCGUGGGGGAUAACGUAGGGAAACUUACGCUAAUACCGCAUACGACCUACGGGUGAAAGCAGGGGAUCUUCGGACCUUGCGCGAUUGAAUGAGCCGAUGUCGGAUUAGCUAGUUGGCGGGGUAAAGGCCCACCAAGGCGACGAUCCGUAGCUGGUCUGAGAGGAUGAUCAGCCACACUGGAACUGAGACACGGUCCAGACUCCGACGGGAGGCAGCAGUGGGGAAUAUUGGAAAAUGGGCGCAAGCCUGAUCCAGCCAUACCGCGUGGGUGAAGAAGGCCUUCGGGUUGUAAAGCCCUUUUGUUGGGAAAGAAAAGCAGCAGGUUAAUACCCCGCUGUUCUGACGGUACCCAAAGAAUAAGCACCGGCUAACUUCGU
rnacentral:rRNA from 1 species